rnacentral:tRNA from 1 species
GUAUUCUUAGCUCAGAUGGAUAGAGCAACAGCCUUCUAAGCUGAAGGUCAGUGGUUCGAGUCCACUAGAAUACG